UACGUAGGGUGCAAGCGUUAAUCGGAAUUAUUGGGCGUAAAGCGCGCGUAGGCGGCUACUUAAGUCGGAUGUGAAAGCCCUUGGCUCAACUGAGGAAGUGCACCCGAAACUGAGUGGCUUGAGUACUAAAGAGGGUCGCGGAAUUCCCGGUGUAGAGGUGAAAUUCGUAGAUAUCGGGAGGAACACCGGUGGCGAAGGCGGCGACCUGGGUAGAUACUGACGCUGAGGCGCGAAAGCGUGGGGAGCAAACAGG
rnacentral:rRNA from 1 species